GUGAAUCAUCGAAUCUUUGAACGCAAAUUGCACUCUCUUCGGAGAGUAUGCCUGUUCGAGGGUCAGCCUAAAAAAAAAUCGACAUAGUGGCGGUUUCGCGGUGACAUUGGUCGGAAAUGGGGUAAUCUUAAACCUUGGGGUUUUAAGGGGCUAAAAAUUUUCUUUAGGAUUCCACGAACGUUCUUAAGAUCUACUUCUUAUACGUUUAAGGUACCGAU
rnacentral:misc_RNA from 1 species